UACGUAGGAGGCAAGCGUUGUCCGGAAUUACUGGGCGUAAAGCGCGCGCAGGCGGCCCGCGAGGUGUCACGUGAAAGCCCCGGGCUCAACCCGGGAGGGUCGUGGCAAACCGGCGGGCUUGAGGCCGGUAGAGGUGGGUGGAACUCCUGGUGGAGUGGUGAAAUGCGUAGAGAUCAGGGAGAACACCCGUGGCGAAGGCGGCCCACUGGGCCGGUACUGACGCUGAGGCGCGAAGGCGUGGGGAGCGAACGGG
rnacentral:rRNA from 1 species